AAGACUAUACUUUCAGGGAUAAUUUCUAUAGGUGUUUAGUAGAGAAGUUUAUCUGACUGUGUAAAGUACCGGAAACCCUGAGGAGGAGGAGGUAUAUAGUGUUCUCUCCUGAGUGUGAAGCUAGCCCUGAGUGUUGUUUUGUGCAACUGCAUCACCACUGCUGAUUGUUCUCUCCCUUUGGGAGAGUUAGAGGGAGAGAAUGCAGACUUAGUGGC
ensembl:snoRNA U3 Small nucleolar RNA U3